ACUCAGUAUCACAGUGAGUCCUGAGGCAGAACAUCCUCCCUGGCUGUGCUAGACCAUCUGGGACAAAGUCACCAACUCAGGAUCCACAGGCUGGGUCGGCAUAGAGUUGCUUCCCGGAAAACAUGGACAGACUGGUCACAAGAGCAUGUCUUGAGAAAGUGAUGACAGCAUAGCUGGCCUUGUAAUUGUGAAGAAUCACACGAAGAUUGGCAGAUGUCCUUCAGAUGGAUGGUUUGUACAGAAAUAUUGAACAAGACUUAUUCAUUGAGCAUGUGCUGUGGUGCCAGCAGUGGAUCGGGCCAGGAAGUUCCGAGAAACAACCGUGAGUUCGUAGAUCGCCUUCAGUUCUUAAUGCAGCUACUUCCACGAGUCUGAUAUGGAAAGUGUCUGAUAUGGAAGAUGGCCAGUCUUCAGUGCUCCCUGGGAGAGAAGAAAAGAAGGGAAAAGAAAAAAGACAAAAAUGAAAAGGUCAUUUUAAGAGGUUAACUUGAAGAUAAGGGAGGAAAUGUAUAGGAGAAAGAAAGAGAAAGUAGAAUUUGCCAUAAACGACACCACCAACAUUAGCCAAAGUUUUCCAAGGUCUCCUACGUCCUAUGGCUCAGACAAGUGUUCAAGACAGUAGAAUCUUCAGGGAAUAUGAACUUUGAUUUAAAUGGCAGCUUCCCCACUGUCUUGCUUUAUAGCCUCAGGUAAGUUUUUAAAGACCCUGGGUAUUCUGUCUCUUCAUCCAUGAAAAAAUAAUAAAAACAGUCUCAGGAUAUGUGAGAUUAUUAGUGCAACAGAAUGCCAUAAGAAAAGUGCCCAAUACAAUAUCUCAAGUGGAAUAGCUGUUCUAUAAAUAUUUAUUCCCCUCAUUGCCUCAGUCUUUUGAUAGAGGCCUUGCAAUUCCAAUCCUAAAAUUUUGCUCUUAGUCAUCGAGUCAAAUUUCCUGACCUAAAAUCUUAAGAGAAAAGAUUGGUAUCAAAUCUUCAGCACAAUGGAU
rnacentral:lncRNA from 1 species